rnacentral:tRNA from 1 species
AAUUAUGAAGUAAAGUUUUACAUUCAACUUCGAAUUGAAAUUUAGAUAAAUUUAUAUCCUUAAUUA